rnacentral:rRNA from 2 species
GAUGAACGCCGGCGGUGUGCCUAAUACAUGCAAGUCGAACGCGUUGGCCCAAUUGAUUGAUGGUGCUUGCACCUGAUUGAUUUUGGUCGCCAACGAGUGGCGGACGGGUGAGUAACACGUAGGUAACCUGCCCAGAAGCGGGGGACAACAUUUGGAAACAGAUGCUAAUACCGCAUAACAGCGUUGUUCGCAUGAACAACGCUUAAAAGAUGGCUUCUCGCUAUCACUUCUGGAUGGACCUGCGGUGCAUUAGCUUGUUGGUGGGGUAACGGCCUACCAAGGCGAUGAUGCAUAGCCGAGUUGAGAGACUGAUCGGCCACAAUGGGACUGAGACACGGCCCAUACUCCUACGGGAGGCAGCAGUAGGGAAUCUUCCACAAUGGGCGCAAGCCUGAUGGAGCAACACCGCGUGAGUGAAGAAGGGUUUCGGCUCGUAAAGCUCUGUUGUUAAAGAAGAACACGUAUGAGAGUAACUGUUCAUACGUUGACGGUAUUUAACCAGAAAGUCACGGCUAACUACGUGCCAGCAGCCGCGGUAAUACGUAGGUGGCAAGCGUUAUCCGGAUUUAUUGGGCGUAAAGAGAGUGCAGGAGGUUUUCUAAGUCUGAUGUGAAAGCCUUCGGCUUAACCGGAGAAGUGCAUCGGAAACUGGAUAACUUGAGUGCAGAAGAGGGUAGUGGAACUCCAUGUGUAGCGGUGGAAUGCGUAGAUAUAUGGAAGAACACCAGUGGCGAAGGCGGCUACCUGGUCUGCAACUGACGCUGAGACUCGAAAGCAUGGGUAGCGAACAGGAUUAGAUACCCUGGUAGUCCAUGCCGUAAACGAUGAGUGCUAGGUGUUGGAGGGUUUCCGCCCUUCAGUGCCGGAGCUAACGCAUUAAGCACUCCGCCUGGGGAGUACGACCGCAAGGUUGAAACUCAAAGGAAUUGACGGGGGCCCGCACAAGCGGUGGAGCAUGUGGUUUAAUUCGAAGCUACGCGAAGAACCUUACCAGGUCUUGACAUCUUGCGCCAGCCCUAGAGAUAGGGCGUUUCCUUCGGGAACGCAAUGACAGGUGGUGCAUGGUCGUCGUCAGCUCGUGUCGUGAGAUGUUGGGUUAAGUCCCGCAACGAGCGCAACCCUUGUUACUAGUUGCCAGCAUUAAGUUGGGCACUCUAGUGAGACUGCCGGUGACAAACCGGAGGAAGGUGGGGACGACGUCAGAUCAUCAUGCCCCUUAUGACCUGGGCUACACACGUGCUACAAUGGACGGUACAACGAGUCGCGAACUCGCGAGGGCAAGCAAAUCUCUUAAAACCGUUCUCAGUUCGGACUGCAGGCUGCAACUCGCCUGCACGAAGUCGGAAUCGCUAGUAAUCGCGGAUCAGCAUGCCGCGGUGAAUACGUUCCCGGGCCUUGUACACACCGCCCGUCACACCAUGAGAGUUUGUAACACCCAAAGUCGGUGGGGUAACCUUUUAGGAGCCAGCCGCCUAAGGUGGGACAGAUGAUUAGGGUG